UACGUAGGGUGCGAGCGUUGUCCGGAAUUAUUGGGCGUAAAGAGCUCGUAGGCGGUGUGUCGCGUCGGUCGUGAAAACUUGGGGCUUAACUCUGAGCUUGCGGUCGAUACGGGCAUCACUGGAGUUCGGCAGGGGAGACUGGAAUUCCUGGUGUAGCGGUGAAAUGCGCAGAUAUCAGGAGGAACACCGGUGGCGAAGGCGGGUCUCUGGGCAUUAACUGACGCUGAGGAGCGAAAGCAUGGGGAGCGAACAGG
rnacentral:rRNA from 1 species